AGCGACAUGGCGCCUCCGGCCCCCGGCCCGACCUCCGGCGGCUCCGGGGAGGUAGACGAGCUGUUCGACGUGAAGAACGCCUUCUACAUCGGCAGCUACCAGCAGUGCAUAAACGAGGCGCAGCGGGUGAAGUUGUCAAGCCCAGAGACAGAUGUGGAGAGGGACGUCUUCCUGUAUAGAGCGUACCUUGCGCAGGUGACACGCCCUUUACCUCACCACCAGAGGUGGACAGCUGCCGGGGGACAGACAGUUACCUACCAGGGUCCCCAGCUCAAGGCAUGGGCAGUGUGGCCCUGCAGAUGAGGGCACACCUGGCUGCUCAUGACAGGUGACGCCACGCCGACCUCCACAGUGUACUGCAGUAGGGGUGGCCCUUGCUGGGCUGAGGGGUCCCUGGUGGGGCAGGGGCUUCCUGUCUGGGGCUCUCCCUGCCAAGCUGAAGACAUGGAAAUCCUCUGGGGUGGACGGGUGCAGCUGACGCCUUGUCCCUGCUGCAGAGGAAGUUCGGCGUGGUCCUGGACGAGAUCAAGCCCUCCUCGGCC
rnacentral:sRNA from 1 species